rnacentral:rRNA from 1 species
AUUGAACGCUGGCGGCAGGCUUAAACACAUGCAAGUCGAGCGGUAACAGAGAUAGCUUGCUAUCUGCUGACGAGCGGCGGACGGGUGAGUAACGCGUAGGAAUCUACCUAGUAGGUGGGGGACAACAGUUGGAAACGACUGCUAAUACCGCAUACGCCCGUACGGGGGAAAGCGAGGGGAUCUUCAGACCUUGCGCUAUUAGAUGAGCCUGCGUCGGAUUAGCUAGUUGGUGGGGUAAUGGCCUACCAAGGCGACGAUCCGUAGCUGGUCUGAGAGGAUGAUCAGCCACGACCGGGACUGAGACACGGCCCAGACCUCCGUACGGGAGGCAGCAGGUGGGG